rnacentral:lncRNA from 1 species
GAAAUUCUCAUUCCGCUCAAUAACUUUUCUAUGUCCUGAAGUGUUCCAUCAGAAUUUUCAUCUUCAUAGAAUGUCAUUUAUAAGUACACUAGUAGCAUUAAAACUUUGUACCAUUCAACUAUCAAUAAUGCCACCUAAAGCUUUUGCACAUUAAAACAUCAUAUGUCAAUGAUACAUCACUUGCUAGUAACCCCAAAAUCAUCAUCAACCAAAAGUUCUUUGUAAACAUGCAUACAUUUUAUAUGGAUUGCACCAUAGCUAAUAGAGCCAGGCAAUUUAAACUAAUUAUAUGGAUCAAACUUUUGAAGAUUUACAUAUUCUAUGCAAAUUUUCAGGUAGAUAUUCUGAGUCUGCAUAAGAGUAAUGAAUGUCUAUAAAUCAUCAAGUAAACUCCUUCAUUUUUAUCUACACUCAAAAAAAAAAAACCUCCAUUUGUAUCCGUUUUGCAAUAUCAUCCAAUUCUUCAAUAACAAUGUCACUGCCCACCACAAAAAUGAUAUCUUAAUUUGACAUUAAUACCCUAGGUAGUCCAAAUCAAGGUUUGCAAUCUCAAUAUCAGAACUGUGUCCAAUUGGUAAACCCCGUACCGAGUAUUAGUACGAUACAAACCUCGAUAUAGACACUCGAUACAAGGGGCGUAUCGACUCUUCAUACCUUACUAGUACAAUAUGGCAUAUCCUGUACCUGGAGGUAUGGUCUAAGAUCACAAACCUUGGUUCAAAUGCAUUAGUAAGUUCCUUCUUGAUGAAACAUGCCUGAGCACACAACAUAUACCUUAGCGGAGCUCCAUAUCCUUCCAAUCUGGAAU